rnacentral:rRNA from 1 species
AGUGAACGCUGGCGGUAGGCCUAACACAUGCAAGUCGAACGGCAGCACAGGAGAGCUUGCUCUCUGGGUGGCGAGUGGCGGACGGGUGAGGAAUACAUCGGAAUCUGCCCAGUCGUGGGGGAUAACGUAGGGAAACUUACGCUAAUACCGCAUACGACCUUCGGGUGAAAGAGGGGGAUCGCAAGACCUCUCGCGAUUGGAUGAGCCGAUGUCGGAUUAGCUAGUUGGCGGGGUAAUGGCCCACCAAGGCGACGAUCCGUAGCUGGUCUGAGAGGAUGAUCAGCCACACUGGAACUGAGACACGGUCCAGACUCCUACGGGAGGCAGCAGUGGGGAAUAUUGGACAAUGGGCGCAAGCCUGAUCCAGCCAUACCGCGUGGGUGAAGAAGGCCUUCGGGUUGUAAAGCCCCUUUGUUGGGAAAGAAAUCUUUCAGGCUAAUACCCUGGGAGGAUGACGGUACCCAAAGAAUAAGCACCGGCUAACUUCGUG